rnacentral:rRNA from 1 species
UACGUAGGGUGCAAGCGUUGUCCGGAAUUAUUGGGCGUAAAGAGCUCGUAGGUGGCCUGUCGCGUCGGCUGUGAAAACUCGGGGGCUCAACUCCGAGCUUGCAGUCGAUACGGGCAGGCUAGAGUUCGGCAGGGGAGACUGGAAUUCCUGGUGUAGCGGUGAAAUGCGUAGAUAUCAGGAGGAACACCUGCGGUGUAGACGGCUUUUCUGGACCAUUGCUGACGCUGAGACACGAAAGCGUGGGUAGCAAACAGG